AUUGAACGCUGGCGGCAGGCCUAACACAUGCAAGUCGAGCGAGCGGUGGACGGGUGAGUAAUGUAUGGGGACUGCCCGAUAGAGGGGGAUAACUACUGGAAACGGUAGCUAAUACCGCAUACUAUCGGAUAACCCAUAUGGGGUUAGCUCGUAGGUGAGGUAAUGGCUCACCUAGGAGACGAUCCCUAGCUGGUCUGAGAGGAUGGUCAGCGACACUGGGACUGAGACACGGCCCAGACUCCUACGGAGGCAGCAGUGGGGAAUAUUGCAAAAUGGGCGCAAGCCUGAUGAGACCAUGCCGCGUAUAUGAAGAAGGCCCUAGGGUUGUAAAGUACUUUCAGUCGGGAAGCGUUGCCGACAGAAGAAGCACCGGCUAACUCCGUGCCAGCAGCCGCGGUGAUUC
rnacentral:rRNA from 1 species